GAGUGAGCGAUAGUGAACCAGUACCGUGAGGGAAAGGUGAAAAGAACCGCGGGAGCGGAGUGAAAAAGAACCUGAAACCGUAUGCCUACAAGAAGUCAGAGCCCGUUAAAGGGUGAUGGCGUGCCUUUUGUAGAAUGAACCGGCGAGUUACUGUAUGGAGCGAGGUUAAGCAGGAUAUGCGGAGCCGAAGCGAAAGCGAGUCUUAAGAGGGCGAAAGUAGGAUGUUGCAGACCCGAAACCGGGUGAUCUAGCCAUGAGCAGGUUGAAGUUGAGGUGAAACUCAAUGGAGGACCGAACCGACUACCGUUGAAAAGUUAGCGGAUGACUUGUGGCUAGGGGAGAAAUUCCAAUCGAACCCGGAGAUAGCUGGUUCUCCCCGAAAUAGCUUUAGGGCUAGCGUCAAGAUGAACUUAUCUGGAGGUAGAGCACUGAAUGUGUGAUGGCCCCAUCCCGGGGUACUGAACACAAUCAAACUCCGAAUGCCAGGUAAGAUGAUUGGCAGUCAGACCGUGAGUGAUAAAGUCCAUGGUCAAGAGGGAAACAGCCCAGACCGCCAGCUAAGGUCCCAAAAUUCUGGCUAAGUGGAAAAGGAUGUGGGGAUGCACAGACAACUAGGAGGUUGGCUCAGAAGCAGCCAUCCUUGAAAGAGUGCGUAACAGCUCACUAGUCGAGUGACCCUGCGCCGAAAAUGUACCGGGGCUAAGCCAGGUACCGAAGCUGCGGAUAUUCCUAGAAUAUGGUAGGGGAGCGUUGCAUGUGGGGUGAAGCCGUAUCGUGAGGAGCGGUGGACAGCAUGGAAGUGAGAAUGCCGGUGUGAGUAGCGAGAUGUAGGUGAGAAUCCUACACACCGAAAGCCCAAGGAUUCCAGGGGAAGGUUCGUCCGCCCUGGGUAAGUCGGGACCUAACGCGAGGCCGAGAGGCGUAGUGGAUGGAAAACAGGCAGAUAUUCCUGUACCCGUAUAUGGAGCGAAGGAGGAACGGAGAAGGCUAGCAUGACCCUCUUAAUGGAUUGAGGGCGAAGCGAGGUAACUGGUGACCAGGCAAAUCCGGUCACUGCAAGGUGAAGACGUAACAGGUAAGUGAAAGAGCGAUCGAGUAGCGAAGCAUGUGAUGCCAGCUUCCAAGAAAAGCUUCUAGCAAUGCAUAUACGGCCCGUACCAAAACCGACACAGGUGGGCAGGGAGAGUAUCCCGAGGUGAGCGAGAGAACUGUUGCCAAGGAACUCGGCAAAAUGACUCCGUAAGUUAGCGAGAAGGAGUGCUUAAGCAAUUAAGCCGCAGUGAAGAGGCCCAAGCGACUGUUUAACUAAAACACAGCUCUCUGCGAAGUCGCAAGACGAAGUAUAGGGGGUGACACCUGCCCGGUGCUGGAAGGUUAAGAGGAUCUGUUAAGAGCGAUCUGAAGCAGUGAUCCGAAGCCCCAGUGAACGGCGGCCGUAACUAUAACGGUCCUAAGGUAGCGAAAUUCCUUGUCAGGUAAGUUCUGACCCGCACGAAAGGUGUAACGAUUUGGGCGCUGUCUCGGCAGCAGACUCGGUGAAAUCUUAGUACCUGUGAAAAUGCAGGUUACCCGCAACUAGACGGAAAGACCCCAUGGAGCUUUACUGUAGCUUGAUAUUGAACUUUGGUCGUACCUGUACAGGAUAGGUGGGAGACAUAGAGACGUGCACGCCAGUGUACGAGGAGUCGGCGUUGGGAUACCACUCUUGUGCGAUCGGAGUUCUAACCCAGGUCCAUGAAACUGGAUCGGGGACCGUGUCAGGCAGGCAGUUUGACUGGGGCGGUCGCCUCCCAAAGAGUAACGGAGGCGCCCAAAGGUACGCUCAGAUUGGAUGGAAACCAAUCAUUGAGUGCAAUUGCAGAAGCGUGCUUGACUGUGAGACAAACAAGUCGAACAGGGACGAAAGUCGGGAAUAGUGAUCCGGCGGUGCCGAAUGGAAGGGCCGUCGCUCAACGGAUAAAAGCUACCCUGGGGAUAACAGGCUGAUCUCGCCCAAGAGUUCACAUCGACGGCGAGGUUUGGCACCUCGAUGUCGGCUCAUCGCAUCCUGGAGCUGGAUUCGGUUCCAAGGGUUGGGCUGUCCGCCCAUUAAAGCGGUACGCGAGCUGGGUUCAGAACGUCGUGAGACAGUUCGGUC
rnacentral:rRNA from 1 species